UGGACAUUUUGGUGCGAUUUGCUCAUGCAAAAUAGUGGAAAAGUGCCGGCUUUAUCGCGAUUUAUACCCGAAAUUUUACUGUAUUUUGACUAGCAAAGUGUUCUCGAGUGUUUUGUGUAAAAAUCCUGCUCAAUCGGGCGUUUUUAGCAGCAAAAUCGGAGUUUUAAAUCGCGAUGUGACGUUUACCGUCAAGUGCGUUCGGGGCCAUUGACUAGGCCUAGUGAACCCGUUUUAUCCCGGAUUAUUGCAGAUUUCGUCAAAAUCGAGUUGCUGGCUGAGGGCGAAUGCAUAUUUUCGUCUUUUUUGGUGUUAAAAGCCCACUUAAAGCAAAUAAUAUACGAUAGGAUAUGGUGUGACGUCUCAGUAUAUUCGUGCAACGUUGCCGUGGCUUUUCACUUUGGGCGUGACUACUUAAAGACUAUACGACCAGCCUCGCUCAUCACUACUAGAAACCCGACUUGGAUGGAAAUUCAAUCAAAUACGCGGCCAGUUUGGAUGAUAAGUGACGGUAGAAUGGUUGAACACCCACCGGAUGCACCCAAUAGAUAAUGCAAAUUAAAACAGCUGUUAAGGGCAUUUAAAAUGGUAAAUAAAACGGCUACUGACAA